rnacentral:lncRNA from 1 species
CAAGGUCCAAAGAUGGUGUGCGCACUUGUUUGUGGUCAUUUACCAUUAUAAUGAACGGGAGGCGCAGUUUCUACCAAAACGCUCGCUGCAGAAAAACUCCAUGUCCUAUUUGAAAAAAGUCUGGACCAUGAGUGAGGGCACAAACACAGCUAAGAUAUAUCCAAAUGGCAAGUUGCUCCUCCUUUCGCUUUUGCCGAGAGAGCAGUGCGUUUGAGCCAUUGAAUGAUGAACAGGAAAAACUUGACUUUAUUCUCCUGCCAUGGGGGGCGCUCUUUUAAAGAGAAAAAACUCCUUCACAAAUGUGUUGAUGGCUGGACAUUGCAUCAUCCUAGAAAACAUGGAGGCCAGUGAGGACAAAAAUAAAAAGUUAUAAGACUUUUAAAUAUGUGGAUUUUAGGGUUAUAUUUGGCGCCCCCUAGAACCUAAACCGUGGGGUGCAGCGUCAUGAUUUGAAUAACUUUUAAUGGCCAUGGGGUGUAGAUUGGCCUGAGCAAAUGUGGUGCCGGUGGAACGAAAGCCUUCGGAGGAAUUAGCGAAAUUCCAAUGUGUGCCAAUCUGCAAAAAAUGCGAAAUAACCCUUUAACCGUACAUUUUACAGAUACGUGGCCAUUGACUUUUUCGAAGAUCUUAUUGAAAUACACGUGUAUGUAAAAUUUUGUGUCAAUACGACAAAACAUACAGGCGUAGCACUCAACAAUGUGUAUUUUCACCUUAGUGGACAAGAAAAAAUUGACUUUCUUCUCCUGCCAUGGGGGGGCGCUCUUUUGGCGAGUAAAAAUUCCUUCACAAAUGUGUUGAUGGCUGGACAUUGCAUCAUCCUAGAAAACUUGGAGGCCAGUGGGGACAAAAAUAAAAAGUUAUAAGACUUUUAAAUAUGUGGAUUUUACGGUUAUCUUUGGCUCCCCCUAGAACCUAAACCGUGGGGUGCAGCGUCAUGAUUUGAAUAACUUUUAAUGGCCAUGGGGUGUAGAUUGGCCUGAGCAAAUGUGGUGCCGGUGGAACGAAAGCCUUCGGAGGAGUUAGCGAAAUUCCAAUGUGUGCGGAUCGGCAAAAAAUGCGGAAUAACCCUUUAACCGUACAUUUGACAGAUACGCGCGCAUUGACUUUUUCGUAGAUCUUAUUGAGAUACAUGUGUGUGUCAAUUUUUGUGUCAUUUUGCCAAAGCGUACAGGUGUUACACUCAACAAUGUGUAUUUUCACCUUAGGGGACAAGAAAAAAUGGACUUUUUUCUCCUGCCAUGGGGGGGCGCUCUUUUGGGGAGUAAAAAUUCCUUCACAAAUGUGUUGAUGGCUGGACAUUGCAUCAUCCUAGAAAACUUGGAGGCCAGUGAGGGCAAAAAUAAAAAGUUAUAAGACUUUUAAAUAUGUGGAUCUUAGGGUUAUCUUUGGCGCCCCCUAGAACCUAAACCGUGGGGUGCAGCGUCAUGAUUUGAAUAACUUUUAAUGGCCAUGGGGUGUAGAUUGGCCUGAGCAAAUGUGGUGCCGGUGGAACGAAAGCCUUCGGAGGAGUUAGCGAAAUUCCAAUGUGUGCGGAUCGGCAAAAAAUGCGAAAUAACCCUUUAACCGUACAUUUGACAGAUACGCCCGCACUGACUUUUUUGUAGAUCUUAUUGAGAUACAUGUGUGUGUCAAUUUUUGUGUCAUUUUGACAAAGCGUACAGGCGUGACAGUGAAUAGUGUGAAUUUUCACCUUAGGGGGCGCUAUGGAGCCAUUUUGCAUUUUCUUGUUUGGGCGACUUCGGAAUAUCAAAUUUUUCACCAGGCCCGGUCGUCCUGCCAAAUUUCAUGAGUUUUCGCCAGUGGGAAGUGGGCCAUUUUCCAGUUCAAAGGGGAGGAAAAAUAAUAACUAGGACCCCGUUGGGGCACUGGCGGGCCCGAGCCGUGUCGCGUCUCCCCCCCCCCACCCCCCCACCCCCCAACG